rnacentral:rRNA from 1 species
GUCCCGCCUGCCCAGUGAUAUAUUUUUAACGGCCGCGGUAUUCUAACCGUGCAAAGGUAGCGUAAUCACUUGUCUUCUAAAUAAAGACCAGUAUGAACGGCUAAAUGAGGACAAACCUGUCUCCUACAACAAAUCAGUGAAACUGAUCUCCCAGUACAAAAGCUGGGAUAAACACAUAAGACGAGAAGACCCUGUGGAGCUUAUAAAUAAACGAUCAACAAAUCACAAUCAAAACAAUAAUGAUCGUACAUUUUAAGUUGGGGCGACUUCGGAAAAAAACAAAACUUCCGAGAAAGGGGCCACCUAGCCCACCCUAAGGAAUACAACCCUAAAGCA